CUGCAGCCCAACCUGAGUGGAGCUCUUUUUUAUUGGUAACUGAGCGAAGUCGAAUGCACCGAUAAAAAAAGCGGGAACGGAGGGUGGAAAAAGC
rnacentral:misc_RNA from 1 species